UACGGAGGGGGCUAGCGUUGUUCGGAAUUACUGGGCGUAAAGCGCGUGUAGGCGGCAGCGCAAGUCGGGCGUGAAAUCCCACGGCUCAACCGUGGAAGUGCACUCGAAACUGCGCAGCUAGAGUCCUGGAGAGGAAGGUGGAAUGCUUGGUGUAGAGGUGAAAUUCGUAGAUAUCGGGAGGAAUACCAGCGGCGAAGGCGGCCUUCUGGACGGUGACUGACGCUGAGACGCGAAAGCGUGGGGAGCAAACAGG
rnacentral:rRNA from 1 species